rnacentral:rRNA from 1 species
AUUGAACGCUGGCGGCAUGCCUUACACAUGCAAGUCGAACGGUAACAGGUCUUCGGAUGCUGACGAGUGGCGAACGGGUGAGUAAUACAUCGGAACGUGCCCGAUCGUGGGGGAUAACGAGGCGAAAGCUUUGCUAAUACCGCAUACGAUCUACGGAUGAAAGCGGGGGAUCUUCGGACCUCGCGCGGACGGAGCGGCCGAUGGCAGAUUAGGUAGUUGGUGGGAUAAAAGCUUACCAAGCCGACGAUCUGUAGCUGGUCUGAGAGGAUGAUCAGCCACACUGGGACUGAGACACGGCCCAGACUCCUACGGGAGGCAGCAGUGGGGAAUUUUGGACAAUGGGCGAAAGCCUGAUCCAGCCAUGCCGCGUGCAGGAUGAAGGCCUUCGGGGUGUAAACUGCUUUUGUACGGAACGAAAAGCCUCUUUCUAAUAAAGAGGGGUCAUGACGGUACCGUAAGAAUAAGCACCGGCUAACUACGUG